AUAAUGAUACACCUGCACGUCAGUUGCAUGAGAUACCAUGCGAUGGUGAAAUUCCAGUGA
rnacentral:ncRNA from 1 species